rnacentral:miRNA from 1 species
UGGCACUCGGAGGACGGCACUGU